rnacentral:rRNA from 1 species
GCAUGAAGUUGGAAUCGCUAGUAAUCGCGGAUCAGCAUGCCGCGGUGAAUACGUUCCCGGGCCUUGUACACACCGCCCGUCACACCAUGAGAGUCGGGAACACCCGAAGUCCGUAGCCUGACCGCAAGGGGGGCGCGGCCGAAGGUGGGUUCGAUAAUUGGGGUGAAGUCGUAACAAGGUACC